AUGCAGGUGCGAGUGCUCUGGGGCUGCGCACUGCACCGGCUGCGGCGGGGACGGAGACCAGAGGGAGGAGGGAGGAGCGCUCGGGGCGCUCAGGGCCGCAGCGCAGCGCUUUGCUCCGUGCUCCUCGCUGCCACGGCGGGAAGUGCCCUCUGCCCUCCACAGAUAAAUUAUGAAGGACAGAAAACACUAAGAGAUUGUUAUGAAGACUUUUUCAGAGGCACCUGGGUGGCUCCAUCUGCUAAGCAUUUGCCUUUGGCUCAGGUAAUUUGCCGAGGUCUUGUAGUUAACAAAAUUCACAAUUUGAGCUCAAGCCAGUGCUGCGUUAGCCACUGCAUCUUAAAAAAAAAAAGAAAGAAAAAAUUAAGACAAGUAUUAGAUAACCAGGAGAGCAGAUUUGUUUUGUUUUAGUUGGUUUAAAUGUUUGCUAUUCUCAAGGCUAAAUAGUUCAACUUCACCUUUCCUAAGGCUUAAAAAUUGCUAACUGCUCAGAAGUCUCCAGUGUUUUAUUUCACUGGUGAGAAGUUUCUUUUGUGGAAUGAAUAAGCUAUACUUAAAUUCAAUAAAAUCUACAUUUAUCUAUCUCUCUGAUUUUCCACAUCAAUGGAUUUAUGCUUCCAAAAUCAGGUCAGUGGGAUGAACACUCUACUCAGAGCUUCCCAGAAGGGAACUGGGCAUUUUAGCUCUCAUUUGCUGAAAUAAGGAUCACAGUUUUCUGCUUGAUGCAGUUUGGGUACUUUAUCAUAUUUUAAUUAUGGAAAUAUUUUGCCUCCAGCAUUAGCAGGAGCUAUCCAGAACUUUAUUCUCUUUAAAGUUAAAAAAAAAAAACAGUAAAAUAUUGUUCUAAUGCUUUCCAGAUCCAGUCCAAAGUAUUGACAUAAGCAAAUAAGAAGGGUGAAUGAAUAGAGCAUCAAAAAAUAUAUACUAGUGGCCAAGGCCAAGAAGCAGCCUCAUAUUUACAGAACUAUCUAUCAUUUUACAUCUAAGACUUUCUUGAUAAGCAUCAGUUGCUUACAAAAUGAAGUACAAAAGAAAGGGUCUUUCUACCUGAAUAUAUCAAUUCUCCUUAAUUCAAUCCCUAACAGUCCCAUAUUUGUUUUUUUCAGACAAUUUAAAGAGCAAUGGUGUUCUAAAACCUAAAAAAUAAUCCAAUUUGAUGUUUUUGCAAGUGUCUUCCCCAGCUAAUUAUUCAUUUUGAGCUGAAUGACAGAUUUCUAUGCCCAAACUUUAAUGCAAUCACCAAUCUUAAAAGAAUAGAGCAUCCCUAAAAUAAAAACAUUGGUGACUAAGUCCCAUUGUGAGCUACCAUAUUUACUACAUCUUGCAGAUCUGAUGGACAUUAUCUAAUCUGCCUCUGCAAUCCAGACCUGGUGCUGCCUCCUGAGAUGAUGGGGCCAAAGAAAUGGGUGGUAGAGUGCUGCUGUCCCCACUCUGGCCUCGGAGAAAGUAUGACAUCACAACUGUCACCUCUAUUUUGUUGCAAUUACUACUUCUGAUGGAAUGACUGAUGCUUGCCUUCAGCCCAGGGCAUGAUCCUGGAGUCCUGGGAUCAAGUCCCACAUCAGGCUCCCUGCAUGGAGCCUGCUUCUCCCUCUGCCUGUCUCUGCCUCUCUCUCUCUCUAUGUGUGUGUGUCUCUCAUGACUAAAUAAAUAAAAAAUCUUAAAAAAAAAAAAAAGAAUGGCGCUGAGGGGAGAAGAAUGAAGAUGUCUGAAUGUGACGUUAAAACCCACUUCUUCAAUCCAGAGCAUUUUGUCCAAUGUUAACAUUGUAAACCUGAUCCAGUCUCUAAUGCAUUGGCCAUUUCUAGCUGGCUUGAGCGUCCUCCUGGUUAUAGAAUCCUGCUUUUCUUUUGGGACCGUCCCUUCUCCCUUCCAAUCUGGCAGUUCACAUAGGGUGAUGCUGCCCCAAAGCUCGGGAGUGGGCUAGUGACUCCCCUGAGUGGGCUGAUUGGUCACCCCUUCCAGUCUGGGUCUAACCCCCACCCCUGUUCUGUUAGGUACAUUCCUGUGGGCAAGUGACCUAAGUAAGCCCAGCCAAGUCAGAAAAAUUUCCUGGAAUCUUUUUUAUCAGGAAAUGGUUGGAAAAACAAGUCCUUGUUUCCUGUGGGGUUGUACCUACUAGAACAGA
rnacentral:lncRNA from 1 species